UUCGACCUACGGGAGGCAGCAGUGGGGGAUAUUGCACAAUGGGGGGAACCCUGAUGCAGCGACGCCGCGUGGGUGAAGAAGCGCCUCGGCGCGUAAAGCCCUGUCAGCAGGGAAGAAAAUGACGGUACCUGAAGAAGAAGCCCCGGCUAACUACGUGCCAGCAGCCGCGGUAAUACGUAGGGGGCAAGCGUUAUCCGGAUUUACUGGGUGUAAAGGGGGCGCAGACGGCGAUGCAAGCCAGGAGUGAAAGCCCGGGGACGAACCCCGGGGCUGCUCUUGGAACUGCGUGGAUGGAGUGCAGGAGG
rnacentral:rRNA from 1 species